GCGUAUUGACUGAUGGCAUCAGCAGGUCAGGUUCCCCAUUUCCAGUUUCCUGGCUUUCUUUCGGUGACUCUUGCUGAGACCUUACCAGCUUUCUCCUUCUUUCUGAAGAACCAGCUUUGACUUGCUGGAUUUUCCCUUGUUCACCACUUUUCUGUCUCACUGCUUCCAUGCUAAUCUGACUUAGAUUUAAUUUGUUUGUAGCUUGCUGCUUCUUUGUCAGGUGCUAGAUUUGGAUGUCUCCCUAUUUGUCUGUUACAAAUAAUAGGUGCCGCUUUGGCUGAAGGCCUUGAGUAUACUUUCCGACAGCCUCAAGCUGUUGUCCUCAUUAAGACCCACUUCAGUUUCAUUUUAUUGGAGAAACCUCCUGGCCAAUGUCUGAAUCAAGCAGAGGUAACAGGUCACGUGCUCCCAGUCUGAAUGAGAUGCUGGGAUAGAGGCUGUUUCUUUCAAACACAGGGAUUUUCUAAAGGGUGACCUUUGCUUUGGAGUUCCCUUUGAAGAUGAACAUCAUGAUCUUAUGGUCCAUUUGCCUAAUCAUGCUGAUUGUUAUGAGCAGUUAUUAUUAAGUUACAUAUAGAACUGGGAGUAUAGGUCAAUGGCACAGUACUUACUAGCCUAGCAUGUGAGGCUAUGAAUUUGAUACACACACACACACACACACACAGAGAGAGAGAGAGAGAGAGAGAGAGAGAGAGAGAGAGAGAGAGAGAGCACACUCAUCAAUUGCAAGACAAAAAUGAAGAUAAUUCUAAAAAGUUAGAAGUUAGGGCUGCAAAGCAGCCUUCAGGUUUUGCCAUACUGUGCAGAAAAGGGUGAAUAUGGAGUCCAGGAAUUGAUGAAAUUGACCCACUCUUGGUGCCUCUUUCCUUCCUUUCACAAUUAAACAGAGAAAGACAAAAAGGUAACAGUUGCCCAUGUCAGGAUCCACAUCUACCUUCUGCUGCCUUAGGCCUAGGAUUAAGUUGCAACAGAAGCCACAUCAGGACCAUCUGGGUUGGCUAAGGCAGGAAAUGUUUGUGUCAGCUCAGCUCUCAGGUGGGUUCUGAGCAUAUUCAAUAAAAAGAAAAACACCAUCCAGGGAAGUGUCUCUCUUAGGAUAAGAUGGGUCCAGGCAGAGCAUGCUAGAAAUGAGACAAAUGCUGCCAGGUUGUCUUCUGGCUUAGGAAACACAACAUCUCAUC
rnacentral:lncRNA from 1 species